GUGUCAGCCGCCGCGGUAAGACGUAGGGUGCAAGCGUUGUCCGGAUUUACUGGGCGUAAAGGGCGCGUAGGCGGCCCGUUAAGUGUGAAGCUAAAGCUCCAGGCUCAACUUGGAAAUUAUUUCGCAUACUGGCGGGCUAGAGGAACGCAGAGGUAACUGGAAUUCCCGGUGUAGCGGUGAAAUGCAUUGAUAUCGGGGGGAACUCCAACAGCGAAGGCAGGUUACUGGGCGUUAUCUGACGCUGAGGCGCGAAAGCGUGGGUAGCAAACAGGAUUAGAUACCCGUGUAGUCC
rnacentral:rRNA from 1 species